rnacentral:rRNA from 1 species
GGUUAAGCGACUAAGCGUACACGGUGGAUGCCCUGGCAGUCAGAGGCGAUGAAGGACGUGCUAAUCUGCGAAAAGCGUCGGUAAGGUGAUAUGAACCGUUACAGCCGGCGAUGUCCGAAUGGGGAAACCCAGUGCAAUUCGUUGCACUAUCGUUAACUGAAUACAUAGGUUAACGAGGCGAACCGGGGGAACUGAAACAUCUAAGUACCCCGAGGAAAAGAAAUCAACCGAGAUUCCCCCAGUAGCGGCGAGCGAACGGGGAGCAGCCCAGAGUCUGAAUCAGCUUGUGUGUUAGUGGAACGGUCUGGAAAGUCCGACGGUACAGGGUGAUAGUCCCGUACACCAAAAUGCACAGGUUGUGAACUCGAAGAGUAGGGCGGGACACGUGGUAUCCUGUCUGAAUAUGGGGGGACCAUCCUCCAAGGCUAAAUACUCCUGACUGACCGAUAGUGAACCAGUACCGUGAGGGAAAGGCGAAAAGAACCCCGGCGAGGGGAGUGAAAAAGAACCUGAAACCGUGUACGUACAAGCAGUGGGAGCACCUUCGGGUGUGACUGCGUACCUUUUGUAUAAUGGGUCAGCGACUUAUAUUCUGUAGCAAGGUUAACCGUAUAGGGGAGCCGCAGGGAAACCGAGUCUUAACUGGGCGUUAAGUUGCAGGGUAUAGACCCGAAACCCGGUGAUCUAGCCAUGGGCAGGUUGAAGGUUGGGUAACACUAACUGGAGGACCGAACCGACUAAUGUUGAAAAAUUAGCGGAUGACUUGUGGCUGGGGGUGAAAGGCCAAUCAAACCGGGAGAUAGCUGGUUCUCCCCGAAAGCUAUUUAGGUAGCGCCUCGUGAACUCAUCUUCGGGGGUAGAGCACUGUUUCGGCUAGGGGGUCAUCCCGACUUACCAACCCGAUGCAAACUACGAAUACCGAAGAAUGUUAUCACGGGAGACACACGGCGGGUGCUAACGUCCGUCGUGAAGAGGGAAACAACCCAGACCGCCAGCUAAGGUCCCAAAGUCAUGGUUAAGUGGGAAACGAUGUGGGAAGGCACAGACAGCCAGGAUGUUGGCUUAGAAGCAGCCAUCAUUUAAAGAAAGCGUAAUAGCUCACUGGUCGAGUCGGCCUGCGCGGAAGAUGUAACGGGGCUAAACCAUGCACCGAAGCUGCGGCAGCGACACUAUGUGUUGUUGGGUAGGGGAGCGUUCUGUAAGCCUGCGAAGGUGUGCUGUGAGGCAUGCUGGAGGUAUCAGAAGUGCGAAUGCUGACAUAAGUAACGAUAAAGCGGGUGAAAAGCCCGCUCGCCGGAAGACCAAGGGUUCCUGUCCAACGUUAAUCGGGGCAGGGUGAGUCGACCCCUAAGGCGAGGCCGAAAGGCGUAGUCGAUGGGAAACAGGUUAAUAUUCCUGUACUUGGUGUUACUGCGAAGGGGGGACGGAGAAGGCUAUGUUAGCCGGGCGACGGUUGUC